rnacentral:rRNA from 1 species
AACGAACGCUGGCGGCAUGCCUAACACAUGCAAGUCGAACGAGACCUUCGGGUCUAGUGGCGCACGGGUGCGUAACGCGUGGGAACCUGCCCUUAGGUUCGGAAUAACUCCCCGAAAGGGGUGCUAAUACCAGAUAAUGUCUUCGGACCAAAGAUUUAUCGCCUUUGGAUGGGCCCGCGUUGGAUUAGCUAGUUGGUAGGGUAAAAGCCUACCAAGGCGACGAUCCAUAGCUGGUCUGAGAGGAUGAUCAGCCACACUGGGACUGAGACACGGCCCAGACUCCUACGGGAGGCAGCAGUGGGGAAUAUUGGGCAAUGGGCGAAAGCCUGAUCCAGCAAUGCCGCGUGAGUGAUGAAGGCCUUAGGGUUGUAAAGCUCUUUUACCCGGGAUGAUAAUGACAGUACCGGGAGAAUAAGCUCCGGCUAACUCCGUG